ACAAGCAGGCACGUUCCCGCUUGGAGACUGUCUGGAGUCUGUCUGAAAUUGAUAAAAUUGGAGAUGGAGUUUUACAUCUGUUUGCACAUUUACGAGGAAGCCGCUUGUUGGAAAUGGGAUUUUUUUUUUCCGCUCUCCUCCUCAAACGCCUUCGCCCACGAGUCGCCACGCUAAGCCAAAAAAAUAUUUGACAGAUAAACGCUGUGAAAGUUUUUUUCUUCUGCAGUCUACCAGCAGACAGCUCUUUAUGCACAGGCAGGAGAUCAGCCGUCAGCCCUGGAGUUCAAGAGGAGUGCAUCACCCAGAGGGCAGUCUGCACAGCUCAGAAAGGCCUGUCCCAAACCUGAUGGAUGACGACGAUUAGAAUUGCAGCUAGAAAGGAGAUCCGUGGUUCCUUGCAGCCUGUCAUGCCCUGAUGUCUUCAACGCUGGAGUGUUUCCGCCCAAAUGGUCUGGCUGCCACUUCAUAACGACUCUAUUGCAAGGCAUCCCACAUCCAAACUGCAGUGAGGAGAAUUUUAAGUGUAGAGAGCUGGUGGUGGACUAGGAGGAAGAUGUCAUGCUAAGGAUGGGUUUUGGUGAUGAUGUUGCUGCUGUUGAUGCAGCAUCGAGCUCUCACUUUGUGCCUCUGUCAGUUAUGAUGCGUAACCACAAAGUGAGUGACAGGCCAAUCCCCGGGGAGAGCAGGGGGCCUGAGGUGAGUCAGAUGUAUCCUUGACCCUGUCUAGCUGUGUCAGCAAGCAACACAAACUCUGUAACAAAGGCCAGAAAUGGCAUGACUGUACAUUGUACAUCUUCAUUUAGUAUAUAGAAAGAGAAUGUAAGACACACAGCCAACUUGGACUAUUUCUGUUGAAGAGAUCUGGUUUCCAUUGCAUAAGCUCCAUCAUCUUAUGAAUUAUGAAAUUACAAUGCAGCAUCUCGCAUUACAGCUGCACCUUUUUAUAUCAUUGCGUGCAUUUGUUUUCUCCAGAGUACUGAAUGUUUUUAUGUCUCAGACAUGAACCCCCGCACUGAUUUUGGUAGAUUUUCAACAUUGUUAACUUCAGUGCGUUACAGAUACAGUACUAAGCACCCAAUGCCACUUUAAGACUUUUAAAAAAAGAUGUCGGAGAAAGUGUUUAUUCCUGUGCCAUUCUGUGGAGUCGGAUAUUGUUUGUAAAGCUUGUUUACAUGAAGGUUUUGUUUUAUUGCGUACAUAUUUUAACUCUAAUGUAGCUUAUAGUUUAAAUGUGAACACGUUCAGAGUUUCAGGGAGCAGGAAAGUAGACGUCGGUACUAAGUUUACUUGAGAAUUUGAGAAAACCUUCAUUCGGAUAUUUACAUAAUACUUAUUAAAUAAUAUAUUAUACAUGGCCAAACAGCCAAAGAAUCGGUAGUGUUCAACUGCAACUGUAGGCAUCCCAAUGCUUGAAGGGGAUCCAACUUAACAGUGUGUUGUGUGAUUAGAGUGAGAAACGUUCCGAAAAAUGUCAUCCAUGCCUCGGCAUUGCUUGUUCGAAUGAAUGGCUAAUCGGUGAUUAAUAAACGUUUCUUCCAAUCCAAGUGAUGUGGUGAAAUUGUGGAUUACAACAUAUCAGUUUUAUUUAUCCAUUACUCAUCUUGUUUGGUUUGCCAUAUUAUUCAUAAUAUAAGUGUGAUGCGUUUUACACAAACUACAGUCUUAUUACUGCUGUUAUCGUUAUAUUUAGUGCUGAAACAAUCAGUUGAUUCAUCUGUUAGUUUAUGAACAGAACAGUAACCGUUGUGAUAAUAUAUACAAUAAAGUCAUUUAUCAAUCAAUGCUUUUGUUUAAUGUCAUAAAUGUAAUAUAUUUGGAUUUUUGACUGUUGAUUGGACAAAAAAGAAUCUAUUUUGAAAAUGUAAACCUCAUGCGCUGGUAAAUUCUGAUGGCCAUUUUUUAAAGUUUUUUAUUUUUAUCAUUUCACGUUAAUCGACAAACUAAUCGGUAUUGAGAAUAAUUGUCAGUUGCCGCUUUUUGCAACUUUUUACAUGAAGUGUAAAUGUAAAGUUAAAAAUGAACGCAAUCUGUAGAAAUGAUAACCGUCUUGUUCAGUGAGGAAUAUCUGCUUCAAUUUGCUAAAAGGACAACACAUCCGUAUAUCAUGAAAGUUAGUCAGAAGUGCUUGUUGUACCAGAAUUAAUAGUGUAACAGAAUUAAUUUUCCCAGCGCCGUUGUCAAUGUUGCAUUGAAUGCAGUCUGCAGAAAAGGUCAAAGUGUAACUGAAACAAUUGUUGCAACCUGUGUCCAAUUCCUAAAUGUAGCAUAAGUAGAUUUUAUAAACAAAUAUUCACUUUUUAAUGUUCUAUUUGUGAAGAAAUGUUAGUUUCAACGUUGUGUCCCAAAAAUACUCUUUCACUACUCGUCGGUGUCGACCAGAAGUACAGCUGCUUAUAAACCACAUUAUAAACGACUAUGUAAAAUUAAAUGGAAUAUUUCAUGUUUUAAUUCAGCUCCUUAAGCACGAAACAUCCACUCAAGAAACCAGAUAUGGUUGCUACAUGGGAAAAUAAAAUCACAUACGGGUUUGUUUUUCCUGAACUUUGUGAAGUGAACAAAAAGGAUCUUUAUUGAAAAGUCUUGCAUUUCUUCACAAGGGUCGCUCAAACACGGUGUGUGAAAUGAGAGUUGCCUGGGUGUGACUUUUCCAGAAAGCAUCCGCUUGCUAUUGUCUGCCUAGUCAACUUCUGCAGGCCCCAGUGCCCUGACUUCCAUACAUGAGAGAUCAAGGGUUACCAAGGUGCUUCUGAGAAAGGAGGGCUCAAUGUGAGAGGGGACAAACCAGUCCACAAAAUACUCAUUUCCUUUGCAUGUUAGGCGCCCUAGUGGGGAUUCAGACGGGGUCGCUGACACAGCCACUGGGGUUGAGUUUUUUUCUUCUCCAUCGUUGUUCUUAAUGAAAACUGUUGCUUGCCUUUUUCGUCCUCUUGCAACAGCUAUCUGCUGCCUGUACAGUAGGUGGCUUGAUAAUGUGCUGAGUUUGCCCAAAGGAAAGUUUGUUCAGACUCUGGCUGUUUAUCCGGUGCCAGACAGAGGCACCUCGUGUAGAAAAGGUAAAAGUAAUUCUGUCCACCUCUCAUUCUUGCCAGAAAGUUCAGUCACUGAGCCACAGCAUUAACUUGUAUUCUAACAAGAUUAAAAUAUAUUCGUCCUGGGGAUUAGCAUAGUUAGGUGUCCUUUUGCCUCUUUUUUUUUUCCUGCACUGGUGCGGUGACAGUGGGCUUUGAUCUGUGUUGCGAGGCAAGAGUCCUGGCUUGGACCUAGCCAUUCGAGUGCCAAGUGUGAAAUUGGCCUGAUGUCAUCCCCAUUCUUCACCUUUUACAUCUUUCACCACUUUAAUUAUGUUUCCGCCACAAAGCCUAGGCACCUCUGAGCAGAUUCCACUCUGGCCGUAGGAAGCAUUUAGAAACUGGGUAAAUGACACAGUAGGGGAGGGGGAGGAUGGUAGGGGAGGUCAUAGCAGGAUGGGGCCCUUUUGUGUUUAGAGGUAGACAUCGAUACUCUCCUGAUGUAUCCUGUGCUCACUUCCAUUUUUACAGCAUGAGAACUUUGGGAAAUUGUCAGCAAUACUCCAGAAAACAACUUUUAUUCCAGGUGUUUUUUUGUUUUGUUUUACAACUUCUGCAUCCCAGUAUUAUUUACCCAGAUUACCGAUGAUUUAUACUUAUAGUGUAUUAUGUUUUCACAGCAAUGCAGGACUUUCUGUUGUGUGAAGCCGUUCGAGGCCCAAACAAGGACCACUUCUGGUCACCUGAAUCUCACUUCUGGUGAUGGAGACAAAUUAUUCUCAGAUCAAAUCUGUUUGUUCCAGGAGAAUGUGCCCAUGCAGCCUUACGGCUUCAGCUAUUGUUCAUGCACCGGUGUCCUUAUCUGAACUUCAGGGAGCUUCUCUGCCGGUGAAUAUUUCGAUGAAGGUUCCUAUUGAUGUGCUGAAUGAAGGACCAAAACAACAAGGGGAUGUGUGCAUGUGAGGAGGAACAGAAAUGAAUGAAGUGCAUUGGGACGUGUGCGUGCCAGGCAAGAAUAAAAAAAACAAAACAAAACCAAGUGAUAGUAAGUUGUGGGUGUGUGAGGGAGGGAGAGUAUGACUUGGUGAGUGAGAAAGCUGUGUGGAGAAUGAGUUACUGAGGGGGGGGGGGGGGAACCAGCCACCUGCAGCCAUGACAGGCUUUGACCUUCAUUGCUCUCUCCCCUCUCUCUCCCUCCCUCCCCUCUCUCUCUCUGUCCUUUCGACUCCCAUU